GACGAACCGUGCGAACGUUGUUCGGAAUCACUGGGCUUAAAGGGCGCGUAGGCGGACUGCCAAGUCAGGGGUGAAAGCCCACGGCUCAACCGUGGAAGUGCCUUUGAUACUGGCGGUCUCGAGGGAGGUAGGGGCGGGCGGAACUUCCGGUGGAGCGGUGAAAUGCGUAGAUAUCGGAAGGAACACCGGUGGCGAAAGCGGCGCGCUGGACCUCUUCUGACGCUGAGGCGCGAAAGCCAGGGGAGCGAACGGG
rnacentral:rRNA from 1 species